GGGGUUGUGGCUCAGUGGUAGAGCUCUCAUCUAGCAUGUGAGAAACACUGGGUUUGAUCCUCAGCACCA
rnacentral:tRNA from 1 species